AAAUAUGCGGGAAUUAAUGUGGAUUAGAAGUGUGAUUACUUCACAAAGUUUAAUCAUCACACUCUUUUCUCAUCGUACGAAAUUCAUUUAACCGAAUUUUCGGCGGCACCGACUGUGUAUUCCACCAUUUUGAUCCCUUUUUCGCGCUUGGAUUGCAUUUGAGCCCAUACAUAAGGGUGUGGUUAUGAAUUAAAAGAGUGUUUGUGCAAAUAUUCAACAUAUGCUACAAUAUAAUAAUAAUUUUUAUGCGACGCUAUCAUGUCUCGUUGACAAUCGUGCUCAUCCUCCACAGAUGGGCUUCGUGAGAUGUGCUGAUUUGCAUCAAUUUUCGCAUGAUUCGCCGUCAUUGAGUUGCUGAUUAUAUCAAAGUAGAUGUUGGAUGCAUCCGUACUGUAGGCUACAGGUGUUGGAUACAAAUUACCUGAAUUUGCACCACUCGUAGCAAUUUGCCCAUAAAUUGACUUCUGAUGCAAAAAUUUAUUAGCAGCACUUGAACCCAUAGACAUACUGCCAGCAGUUACAAUGCCCGGAGACGCACCCUGGGGUGAAUAGGGGAGUGGCGACAGAUUUUGAUGGUUAUUCGGCGAGAGAUUUUGUUGCUGAGAAUGUGGCGAUGUCGAUGUGGUCAAUGGGUUAUUUCCACUUUGAUGGGAAUUUCCACUGUUUAGUUGCGUUGUGUGAUGAAUAGCACUUAACGCUCGCAAUUCUAUUAAAUAAAAUAUUAUUUUUUUUUAGUUAGUUUAUUUACUCUUUUGAACACUAUUAAUUAAUCUCACCUUUUGCUGCAUCAGUCAUUGCAUUUGAGGAGUGUUUAGCUGAAUUUCCAGAGGAAUCUGAUGUAUUUUUGCUUCCUUUUGGUUUCCUUUUUCGAGUCUACAAAAAAUUUAAGAAAAAAUUAAUCAUAUUCUAGUCAAAUUAAAAUAAUUAAAUAUCAAAAUUAUUCUUUAAAUUGACGGGAUGAGGACACAAUUAAGCUAAGCAUCACACGUGGAACAUAACGGACAAAUUCAAAAUGUUGUAGCAUUAUUUGGGACAUUAUUUUUAUUACAAAAUAAAUGCAUAAUAAAAUCGAGAACAUGCUUAAUUACAUUAAAAAUUUCUGUAUCCUCUUCUUACUUUAGCUGUGAUUUUUAAUAAUGUUUAAGACAUAUUUUAAUAGAAUGUUUUUAUUAUUAACUAUAGAAUCAUGAUUUUAUUAUCUUUCCAUACUGUAUGAACAAUUUUUAUUUAUUCAAUAAAAUUUUAUUUGUUCUGA